UUUCUUGUUCCAGAACCUGUUGCACCCUUGUCAGCUACCCUUGAUGGCUUGUAUUUGUUUGCUGGUGGCCUUUCAGGUUCUGUACAUGCUCUCUCAGUUCCUUCAGGGGAGAUACUCGCAUCAUAUUCAGCACAUAACAAGCCUGUUUCCUGCCUCAAAAUAAGUGAAGAUGGGUCACUAUUGAUAUCUGGUGGUGAUGAUGGUACAAUUUCUUUUGUUCCAAUCUUUCAAAUCAUCGAGGCAUCACCUGAUAAGAGCUCCACCAGCUUGAUGUUGCAGAGAUUUGUUGCACAUGAUGGCUCAGUGACAGCAAUAGACUCUAUUAUGGCACAGUGCAACUCUACCAUAAUAUCAAGCUCGUUGGAUUGCACGAUUAAGAUUUGGGGAUUGUUGGAUG
rnacentral:lncRNA from 1 species